rnacentral:rRNA from 1 species
CCUACGGGAGGCUGCAGUGAGGAAUAUUGGUCAAUGGGCGAGAGCCUGAACCAGCCAAGUCGCGUGAGGGAGUACUGCCCUAUGGGUUGUAAACCUCUUUUGUCGGGGAGCAAAAGCCGGACGUGUCCGGCUGUGAGAGUACCCGAAGAAAAAGCAUCGGCUAACUCCGUGCCAGCAGCCGCGGUAAUACGGGGGAUGCGAGCGUUAUCCGGGUUUAUUGGGUUUAAGGGGUGCGCAGGCGGGUUUAUAAGUCAGCGGUAAAAUCGCGGGGCUCAACCCCAUCGAGCCGUUGAAACUGGGGAACGAGAGUGGGCGAGAGGUAGGCGGAAUGCGUGGUGUAGCGGUGAAAUGCGUAGAUAUAACGCAGAACCCCGAUGGCGAAGGCAGCAUACCGGUGCACAACUGACGCUGAGGCACGAAAGCGUGGGUAUCGAACAGGAUUAGAUACCCCGGUAGUC